UUUCAGCAAAUAUCUCCAAGCUUGUUGCAUUUCGUCUUAUUUGAAUUUUUUUAUGGUUAGCAUUUUGGUUGUUAUUAGAUAAUAAAACAUGAACAAUACUUUAUGCAUGACUACGUUUUAAAUUUUUUUAAAAAAAAUUAAAUAAGACGAACGAUCAAAGUUGAACAUGAAAACUCAUGAUUGCGUUUAAA
rfam:Oryza rufipogon genomic scaffold, chr01